UUGCUGUUGCUGUGUAUUCUCAUAAUGCAAGCCUCGAAAGUCCUAGAAGCAAGAACUGUUGGUGUUUUCAGAGUCUUAACCAACUAGUUGUAGUGCUGUUCCCAGUUAGCACUGAUUAGGUGAGUUGCAGGUCAAAGAAGUCAUACAUACGUAACUUACACACGUAACCAAAUGCAGCCCAAGCAUUUUUAUGGAGCUCUCAAAGUCUGAAAAGUUAUUUUCCAUAUUGUGUGCACACAAGUUAAUAACAACAUGAGGACUGCAGAUUUAAUCUGGACAUCUAGACGUCUUUUGACAUUAAGUUAACAAAAUCAGUGCUGUACUGGAUUUUGGUCUUUCCCCUGUGUAUGUAAAUCUACACAGCCAGAAAGUUGUGCUGACUUUAAGACAGACAUGUAUUAACAAAUUCUCAGAAACACUAUUCCAAUGACCAAAUUUUAUAAUUGUACUUGAGAUAAUAUGUUGAUGUUGUUCUUGAUGGGUUUUUUUCUCCCAUCUAACGUCUCUCUUCAGUGCACACUGUGUGAACUAUAACUCUGAGAAUAUUUCUGUCCUGGCACUUAGGCAACAAUAGUCUACACAACAACUAUGCCAGCUGCAGACUGGAUGUGGGUUUUUGGCUUUACUUUCGUCUUCUAGCAACAAUAAGCCUUUCAUAAAUACGCAACCAAAACAACGUACAACAAACGACACCAAUUAAAUUCAUACUUAAGUUUUAAGCAUCUGUGCUGCUUCCAUUCAGCAGUACUGUUAGUUAAAGUAACUUUUAUUUAUUUCUUGACCAUGAGUCUAUGCAAGCUAUUACAAAUAAAUGUUAUAGACAUUGAUUAACCUUUUCCACUGUUACAACCUAACCUUGUAUUGACAUACAAGACAUGUGUAUACUAUGGUAUGUGUUGUGGGUGUCUCUCUCUCUCUCUCUUCAUGUGGACCUGUUGUGGAGUGGCUGUGCAUGUGUCUGAUGAGCUGCAGGUAAGCUGCUAUGAUUGGUUGGGUUGAAUGAUUGCCCAGGUGGUUCUGGUUGAUGAUCGUGGCAGCCUUUGAGGACACAAGACCUGCUGCCACCAGGCUCUCCUUCUUCAAUAAGUCAACACCGUUUUCUUGAUAUCCCUGUUGUGUUUUGAAGCAAAUCGUUUGAUGCGAAAACCUUUGCAGUCCUGGGAACUGUUGGGGUUUUUGAGAUCCCCAUGAAGACACCGUGCCAUGGACUUUGGAUUCUGGAUUCUCUCCUUGAUGAAGAAGAUGGCAAGCCACAGUUUGAACCUCAUCAUCCCUCUACUCUGAGGAGGAAACUAACCCUCAGCUUCCUUACUCAAUGACACCUUUGUGGUCUAGCGGGUGAUCUAAAGUGUUGUUAUUGUCCUCUCCGUCGUCAUUGGCCAGUGGGUUGCGGCUGAUGACCAGCUCCAGUCUGUCUCCAGCCUCUGUGAUCAGAGGCACUGCCAGGCAGCAGUCAAAGUCCCUCGUCCUCACAUGGUUCACCUGGAUAAAGAACACGAGACGCAGACAAUGGCUGCUCUGGAUCCUGUCGUAGGGUUUGAGCCCGGCUCGGUCUGCUGGGCCGUCGGGUCUGAUCAUGUUGACGUAAACUCCUUUCUCCAAGAAGCCAUCUGACACACUGAAGCCAAAGUCGUCAAUCUCUGGGUCCUUUACC